AUUGAACGCUGGCGGCAUGCUUUACACAUGCAAGUCGAACGGUAACAGCACUUCGGUGGCUGACGAGUGGCGAACGGGUGAGUAAUACAUCGGAACGUGCCUGGUAGUGGGGGAUAACUACUCGAAAGAGUAGCUAAUACCGCAUGAGAUCUAAGGAUGAAAGCAGGGGACCUUCGGGCCUUGCGCUACUAGAGCGGCUGAUGGCAGAUUAGGUAGUUGGUGGGAUAAAAGCUUACCAAGCCGACGAUCUGUAGCUGGUCUGAGAGGACGACCAGCCACACUGGGACUGAGACACGGCCCAGACUCCUACGGGAGGCAGCAGUGGGGAAUUUUGGACAAUGGGCGCAAGCCUGAUCCAGCAAUGCCGCGUGCAGGAUGAAGGCCUUCGGGUUGUAAACUGCUUUUGUACGGAACGAAAAGCCCUCUUCUAAUACAGGAGGGUCAUGACGGUACCGUAAGAAUAAGCACCGGCUAACUACGUG
rnacentral:rRNA from 1 species